CAACCUGCCCACCACUUGGGGAUAACCUUGCGAAAGUAAGACUAAUACCCAAUGACGUCCAUAGAAGACAUCUGAAAUGGAUUAAAGAUUUAUCGGUGAUGGAUGGGGAUGCGUCUGAUUAGCUUGUUGGCGGGGUAACGGCCCACCAAGGCGACGAUCAGUAGGGGUUCUGAGAGGAAGGUCCCCCACAUUGGAACUGAGACACGGUCCAAACUCCUACGGGAGGCAGCAGUGAGGAAUAUUGGUCAAUGGGCGAGGGCCUGAACCAGCCAAGUAGCGUGCAGGAUGACGGCCUAUGGGUUGUAAACUGCUUUUAUAAGGGAAUAAAGUGAGCCUCGUGAGGCUUUUUGCAUGUACCUUAUGAAUAAGGACCGGCUAAUUCCGUGCCAGCAGCCGCGGUGAUACGGAAGGUCCGGGCGUUAUCCGGAUUUAUUGGGUUUAAAGGGAGCGUAGGCCGGAGAUUAAGCGUGUUGUGAAAUGUAGAUGCUCAACAUCUGCACUGCAGCGCGAACUGGUUUCCUUGAGUACGCACAAAGUGGGCGGAAUUCGUGGUGUAGCGGUGAAAUGCUUAGAUAUCACGAAGAACUCCGAUUG
rnacentral:rRNA from 1 species